rnacentral:rRNA from 1 species
ACAGAGUUCGAUCAUGGCUCAGAUUGAACGCUGGCGGGAUGCUUUACACAUGCAAGUCGAACGGCAGCACGGACUUCGGUCUGGUGGCGAGUGGCGAACGGGUGAGUAAUGUACGGAACGUGCCUAGUAGCGGGGAGCAAUUCGCCGAAAGCGUAGCCAGGUUACCGCAUACGCCCUUCGGGGGAAAGCGGGGACCUUCGGGCCUCGCACUAUUAGGAGCGGCCGAUAUCGGAUUAGCUAGUUGGUGGGGUAACGGCUCACCAAGGCGACGAUCCGUAGCUGGUUUGAGAGGACGACCAGCCACACUGGGACUGAGACACGGCCCAGACUCUACGGGAGGCAGCAGUGGGGAAUUCUUGGACAAUGGGGGAAACCCCGAUCCAGCCAUCCCGCGUGUGCGAUGAAGGCCUUCGGGUUGGGAAUAAUUUUUGGCAGGAAGAAACGGCACGGAUAAUACCCCGUGUAACUGACGGUACCUGCAGAAUAAGCACCGGCUAAUUACGUGCCAGCAGCCGCGGUAAUACGAGGCGUGUGCGCGUUAAUCGGAAUUACUGGGCGUAAAGCGUGCGCAGGCGGUUCGGAAAGAAAGAUGGUGAAACCUGGGUGAGCCUAACUUUGGAACUGCAUUUUUAACUACCGAGCUAGAGUGUGUCAGAGGGAGGUGGAAUUCGCGUGUAGCAGUGAAAUGCGUAGAUAUGCGGAGGAACACCGAUGGCGAAGGCAGCUCCCUGGGAUAACACUGACGCUCGCGCACGAAAGCGUGGGGAGCAAACAGGAUUAGAUACCCCGGUAGUCCACGCCCUAAACGAUGUCAACUAGCUGUUGGGGCCUUCGGGCCUUGGUAGCGCAGCUAACGCGUGAAGUUGACCGCCUGGGGAGUACGGUCGCAAGAUUAAACUCAAAAGGAAUUGACGGGGACCCGCACAAGCGGUGGAUGAUGUGGAUUUAAUUCGAUGCAACGCGAAAAACCUUACCUACCUCGAUAUGUCUGGAAUCCCUGAAGAGAUUUGGGGAGCGUCGCAAAGAGAACCGGAACACAGGUGCUGCAUGGCUGUCGUCAGCUCGUGUCGAGAUGCUAAGAGUUUGCAACGAGCGCAACCCUUGUCAUUAGUUGCUACGAAAGCGGCACUCUAUCGAGAUUCUGCCGGUGACAAACCGGAGGAAGGUGGGGAUGACGUCAAGUCCUCAUGGCCCCCUUAUGGCAGGGCUUCACACGUCAUACAAUGGUCGGGAUGAGGGUCGCCAACUCCGCGAGGGGGAAGCCAAUCCCAGAAACCCGAUCGUAGUCCGGAUCGCAGUCUGCAACCUGACUGCGUGAAGUCGGAAUCGCUAGUAAUCGCGGAUCAGCAUGUCGCGGUGAAUACGUUCCUGUCUUGUACACACCGCCCGUCACACCAUGGGAGUGGGUUUUACCAGAAGUAGUUAGCCUAACCGUAAGGAGGGCGAUUACCACGGUAGGAUUCAUGACUGGGUGAAGUCGUAACAAGGUAA